CCUACGGUGCGCAGCAGUGGGGAAUAUUGCACAAUGGGGGAAACCCUGAUGCAGCGACGCCGCGUGAGUGAAGAAGUAAUUCGUUAUGUAAAGCUCUAUCAGCAGGGAAGAAAAUGACGGUACUUGAGUAAGAAGCCCCGGCUAACUACGUGCCAGCAGCCGCGGUAAUACGUCGGGGGCCAGCGUUAUCCGGAUUUACUGGGUGUAAAGGGAGCGUAGACGGCAGUGCAAGUCUUGAGUGAAAGGCGGGGGCUCAACCCCCAGACUGCUCUGGAAACUGUACGGCUUGAGUGCAGGAGAGGUAAGUGGAAGUCCUAGUGUAGCGGGGAAAUGCGUAGAUAUUAGGAGGAACACCAGUGGCGAAGGCGGCUUACUGGACUGUAACUGACGUUGAGGCUCGAAAGCGUGGGGAGCAAACAGGAUUAGAUACCCUAGUAGUC
rnacentral:rRNA from 1 species